rnacentral:rRNA from 1 species
AUUGAACGCUGGCGGCAGGCCUAACACAUGCAAGUCGAACGGUAACAGGAAGAUGCUUGCUUCUUUGCUGACGAGUGGCGGGCGGGUGAGUAAUGUCUGGGAAACUGCCUGAUGGAGGGGGAUAACUACUGGAAACGGUAGCUACUACCGCAUAACGUCGCAAGCCCAAAGAGGGGGACCUUCGGGCCUUUUGCCAUCGGAUGUGCCCAGGUGGGAUUCGCUAGUAGGUGGGGUAACGGCUCACCUAGGCGACGAUCCCUACCUGGUCUGAGAGGAUGACCAGCCACACUGGAACUGAGACACGGUCCAGACUCCUACGGGAGGCAGCAGUGGGGAAUAUUGCACAAUGGGCGCAAGCCUGAUGCAGCCAGGCCGCGUGUAUGAAGAAGGCCUUCGGGUUGUAAAGUACUUUCAGCGGGGAGGAAGGGAGUAAAGUUAAUACCUUUGCUCAUUGACGGUACCCGCAGAAGAAGCACCGGCUAACUCCGUG